GUAAGUGGCGAGCGUUAUCCGGAAUCACUGGGCGUAAAGCGUGCGUAGGCGGUGCGGUAAGUUGGAAUUGAAAGCCCAGGGCUCAACUCUGGAUCCGGUUCCAAAACUGCCGUACUUGAGCAGAUCAGAGGACAGUGGAAUUCCCGGUGUAGCGGUAAUAUGCGUAGAUAUCGGGAGGAACACCAGUGGCGAAGGCGACUGUCUGGGGUUUUGCUGACGCUGAGGCACGAAAGCCAGGGGAGCGAACGGGAUUAGAUACCCCGGUAGUCCUGGCCAUAAACGAUGAACACUAGGUGUAGGAGGCUUCGACCCCUUCUGCGCCGCCGCUAACGCAUUAAGUGUUCCGCCUGGGGAGUACGGCCGCAAGGUUA
rnacentral:rRNA from 1 species